UCCUUGAGCUGUGGUGGGCUCCACCCAGUUCAAGCUUCCAGGCUGCUUUGUUUACCUAAGCGAGCCUGGGCAAUGGCGGGCGCCCCUCCACCAGCCUCGCUGCCUACUUGCUGUUUGAUCUCAGACUGCUGUGCUAGCGAUCAGCGAGACUCCGUGGGCGUAGGACCCUCUGAGCCAGUACAAAUUAGAGAAUGAGAUCAGAAUAUGGAUACACUGCAAGAGGUGGAGCCCUGGAACAAAAGUAAGAGACAUCUAUAAAGAUUUCUACUGAACAAGUCAACCAUCAAAGCAGAUUAUUCACCAUCUGUGGUCAUCAAUUCCAAAGGAAUUUUUGUUUCUGGUAAUGGCCAAAUAAGCAUCUAUAUGAAUAUUUUCUACAGAUAAUAAAUAUAAACUCUGAACAAAUGUAAAAAGAAAAAAAAAAAGACCAGCCAAAGGCACUGGAUAUGACCCUAAAAGAGCAUAUUCUGAAGAGUAGUCUACAAUAGAAAAGGGAAAAUGACACUGACUGAGUCUCUCAUUUACUCUAGCUGUUAGACUAAAGGCAGUUCUAAACCAUGCCGUGGAUAGUGGCCAAAACUGCAAUAGAAACUAGAAGAGAGAGUUUGGGACAACCGUAGCUGCUAGGAAGUGAGAAUACACACUGCACAGGAAAAGAGCCAGAAAAAGAGAAGGUCACCAACUUGAAAUUAUAAACUGUGUCCAUGUUUCUAGAAUAAUGACUUUGUGGGUCUGACUCCAAGCAAGUCACCUAAGGAUAAAAUAACUGAAGCAAGACUUCAGCUGCCACACAAAGAUAGAUUUUGCAGAGGUGUGAUUUCAACCAAGUAAAUUACUUUACGGACUAAAUAGAAAUAAAAGAUUCAGAAGACUACAAAACUCAUGAUCUCCAAAAGAUAAUAUUCAUAAUUUCCAACAUGCAUCCUAAAUUACUCCAAAACAUGAAUAAAGAAGAAUGUUUUUUAUUCUCAAGAUAAAUGAAAAUCAACAGAGACUGACAGCAAAAUGACUCAGAUGUUGGAAUUAGCAUAACAAAGAUUUUAAAGGAAUUAUGCUGAGUGAUAUAAAGGAAAAUAUGUUUGAAAUGAAUGAAAAAUUAAGAAAUCACAGCAAAGAGACAGAAAUUAUAAAAAAAUGACUACAUAAAGACAGUAAUAAGGUGUCAUUUCAAUUUAUAUGGAAAUACAAACUUCUAGCAUAUUCAAAGCAAUUCUGAAAAAAAAAGCACAGUUUAAAGCAAUUCUAAGAAAGAAUAGCAUAGUUUAACUAUAAUAAAUGUUUUCAAGAAUAUUAUAAAGCUAUAGGAAUCAAAAUAAUAUGGCAAACAUACAAAGAUUGAUGAACAAAGCCAUAGAAUAAAAUUUGAAGACCAGAAAUUGAUUUGCACGUAUUGGGGGGGUUAUUUAAUUUUUUACGAAUAUAUUAAAACAAUCCAAUGAAUGUGCAGGGAAGGAGUAAUUCACAUGCCUGGGUUGCUCAAACCCUGUAUAUUUCCCAUAAGCCUCUUUCUUCAGAGCGGGCUCUUGGCUGGCUCCUCAAAAAUGAGCUCUGAGGCUCUGGAAUAUUCUGCCUGAGAAGAGUGCUUCUGUACGUCUGACACCUCCGUCCAUGUGGUAAAAAAAAGGAUCAAACUGUUUACGCUAAUGAUGUGUUUUAUUGUGAUCAACUGUUUUUGUAAGCCUGAGACUUUAGAUUACAAAGUACAAGUUCAAAUGGGUAGUUUUUGUUAACAAUGAGAUUUAUGGUAAGUGUCUGAGGAACUAAAAUAUCAAUAGCUGAGGACAGUUAUACAGGUGUUGCAUGCCUAUGUGACUGACCCCUAAUAAAACCUCUGAAGACCAAGGCAUGAUUGAGCUUCCUGCAUGUAUUGCCACACAUCAUUGCUGGGAUAAUAAAGCACAUCCAUAGGACUCCACUGGGGGAGGACACCUAGAAGCCUAUGCUUCAUGUCUUCUAGACUUUAUCCCAUGUACCUUUACAAUUUGCUAAUUUUAAUGUGUAUCUUUUCAUUGUAAAACACACUAAACAUGGAGAUAGUAGCUUUUUCUGAGUCUAGAGAAUCUUCAAGGCUGAAAGUGGUCAUGAGGAGUCUCUACCUCAUAAAUAAAACAUAUUUUUAAUGAAUGAUACUGAAAUAACUAUAUUUAUAUGGAAAAAAAUGAAUCUCCACCCAUAACUCACAAUAUACCUAAAAAUAAUUCAAAAUGAACUAUUGACUGAAACAUAGAAGCUUAUACAAAAGAUUUUCAGAAUAAAAUACAGAAGAAUGUCUAUUUGACAUAGAGCUAGGCAAAGAUUUCUUAUAGGUAGAUAAGAUACAGGACAAAUGAUGACAUAUGGAAAAAGUGAUAUGUUUGACUUUACCAAAAAUAAAUCAUCAGUGAAUCAAAAUAUUCACAAAAUACAACUCCUACGGCAAAACAUUAUAAAGACAACCUUUUAAAAUGGGAAAAAUUUUUGAACACACAUUUUAUACAUUAAGAUGUAUAAGUGGACAAUAAACACAUAAAAACUGUUCAGCAUCACUAAGUAGGUAGGGAAUGGUACAUUAAAGCAACAUUGUGAUACCAUUACACACCCUCUAGGAAUGGCUAAAAUUAAAAAGACUGAAAACAUCAAAUUUUGGAAAGGUUAGGGCCAAUCAAAAUUUUCAUACAUUGCUGGUAAAAAUGAAAACGUCACAACCACUUUGGAAAACAUUUUUAAAAUUUUUUACAAAAUUUCAUAUACAUCCAUUAUAUGACCCAACCAUUCUAUUGCUAGACAUACACUCAAAAUGAAGAAACACAUACAGAAAGAUUUCUACAAGAAUGAUUUUAGCAGCUUCACAACAAACC